rnacentral:rRNA from 1 species
AUUGAACGCUGGCGGCAGGCUUAACACAUGCAAGUCGAGCGGAGAUGAGGUGCUUGCACCUUAUCUUAGCGGCGGACGGGUGAGUAAUGCUUAGGAAUCUGCCUAUUAGUGGGGGACAACAUUCCGAAAGGAAUGCUAAUACCGCAUACGUCCUACGGGAGAAAGCAGGGGAUCUUCGGACCUUGCGCUAAUAGAUGAGCCUAAGUCGGAUUAGCUAGUUGGUGGGGUAAAGGCCUACCAAGGCGACGAUCUGUAGCGGGUCUGAGAGGAUGGUCCGCCAAACUGGGACUGAGACACGGCCCAGACUCCUACGGGACGCAGCAGUGGGGAAUAUUGGACAAUGGGGGGAACCCUGAUCCAGCCAUGCCGCGUGUGUGAAGAAGGCCUUAUGGUUGUAAAGCACUUUAAGCGAGGAGGAGGCUACUGAGACUAAUACUCUUGGAUAGUGGACGUUACUCGCAGAAUAAGCACCGGCUAACUCUGUGCCAGCCGCCGCAGUAAAAC